rnacentral:lncRNA from 1 species
CUCUCCUCUUGGUUUCACUGAGCAGAACCCUCAAAGAGAUCUCUUGUUCUCUCUCGAUUCCACGAAUUGCGAAGUAUCGAGGCGAGCUUCCUCGCCUGAUUCCGCCGUCCCGAUUUUGUAACCCGGCCAGAGGAAGUUCCUCUCCUCUCUGAGUCUCACACACACGAUGCAUAGGUGGUCUCCACAACAAACGGAGUGAAAGUCCUAACUUCGCGCUUAAAUCGGCGUCUCAGCCUCAUCCUCUGCCUUCCUCCAUCUCCGGCGAGUCAAACGCCGUCGGCCACCGGUCUCACCUGCUGCCGUUGCUCUGAUGCAGACAAGAUAAUCGAGAGUUCGCCGUUUUUGUUCUCGGUGUUCGUCACGGCAACAGGGGUUCGCCGUCCCCUUGGGUUCGUCCGAACCGGCAGCCGGC